AUGAUUGCUCUUAUCAGUAAGGCUCCUACCGAGGCUGAGGCUGAUCUAGAGGAGGGAGAAGAGCCGAAGAAGAAGGAAAGGAAAGCAGCCGGAGCUGCUUUCACGUGGAUUCAAGCAAACUUUACGCAUUGCCCUGCGGAUGCCACUGAUGAUGUGAUACAGACACAUGCUCGUGUCUAUAUGUGGUACGUUGUCUCGAGGACUUUGUUUCCUGACUCCACGGGCAAGAACGCUCCAUGGAUGUGGCUGAAGGCGUUGACCGUCUUCGAUAGCAAAUGGAGCUGGGGUCCAGCCACUCUUGCGUACUUGUACCGACAGGUAGUUGGUUUGUUUUGUUAUCAACUCAUUUGUUCAUUACCAAUGCAACCUUGUUGUCAACUUAACAUUGUUUUUCUUUCAUAUGCAGCUGGACGAUGCGUGUUGCAGGAUCACAGAUAG
rnacentral:rRNA from 1 species